CCUUUUUCUUUUCCCCCUUCUUCGUUCUUCGUUCUUCUUCAGCCAUGAAACCGAGAGAGGAGAUCGAGACAGAGAAGAUUAAUGGAAGAUGAUUGAAGAUAGAAAUUGAGAAGGAUUCGAAGUAGAAGAUGUGAAUGCUGCCAUCGAUUAACAACAGGAAGAAUGGAAAUGCUCGCUGCUGUUUGAAGUGAAGAGUUAGGGUUUUGCUUCUGAAGAAUUAGGGUUCGUAGGAGUUGAACUAAUAUGGUUAAAUCUGGAGGAGAUGGGUUGAGAAUCUAAGAAGAAAUUGGUGUUACUGUUACCAUGGAUUGAGAACCAAUCGAGAAAUUAAUUAAAAAGAGGAUUUAAGGUUGUAUUUUAAGGUUUCUGAGAAUCAAUGAUGGUGAUGAAGAAUUUAUUAGGUGUUGGUUGAAUUGAAAUGGGAAAUUGUUGAUGGUCUUGAGAUGGGUAGCUGAAUCGAAUCAAAGUGAAGGAGCAAUUGAUAUCAGUUGCUUGAGUGGAACUCAUUUGAGGUAAUGGUUUUUCUUGGUUAACUGAGUAAAGUUAUAUAUAUUCAGUUCUGAGUUUACGUGAAUUGUUAAUGGAGUUGUAAUUAAGUUUGUGAUUGAAUUCAAGGGAUUGGUACAGAUUGGAGAUGCAACAGGAAUUAGAAGUAAAGGGUUUGGUCAGAGAUUAGAAGAUGAGAAUCGAACAAAAGUUGUAGGGAUGUUGGGUUGAAAUCUGAAGUAGUAAUGGGUUGGAAGUCAGAGUGAGAAAUGGGUAUUGCAGGUUGAGCCGAGAUGGUGCAGUGCCUAUUGUUCUAAGCUUGUGUUAAAUUCAGUAAUGGUGAUUUGAAAUUGUCAAUUGAGGUUUUGGUGAGAAUAGUUGCAGCCGGAGCUACAGGGAGUGAUUGAUUGGUGUUGCAGGUGUUUUGAGUUGAGCUGUACAGGCAGUUGAGAUGCAGUUACUAGUUUGGAUACUGUUGUUUUCAGCUAUGAAGCUACAGGGUUGCAGUUGAAGAUAGAGGAGUUACGCUGGGUUGCAGUCAGGGAAUGUGCAAAAUGAAUGUGACUGCAGGCAGAAUGACAAUGGCUUGAGCAAGGAGCUGCUUACUGUUUUGAAGUUAGCUCUGAGAUGUUUGAAUGGUUGCAGCUGAAGUUGUGAAAGAGAUGGUGCAGGACAAGUCUGAACAGUGCAGGUGCAGUGUCUCGGGUUGCAGUUUUGAAGUCUUCGUUGUUGAAGUUGAGAUGAAGAAUGAGAAGGUGAUGUUGAAUCUGUUGCCUCGCAGCUUCCUGCAAAGUUGCGAAAGACUUUAUAUUGGAUUUGCAGAGUGGAACACUGGACAUUGGCCCAGGUGUAAGUACUAGAUUAGGAAGAAAAUCAGGAAACGGAAGUGAUCCCAACUCUGAGGAUGAAGCAGAAAUUGGCAGCAAAAGAAGAAGACACGGCAGAGAACCUGCGAGAGAGAAUGACCUUCUUUCAGCGUUAUUGCACUAGCAGGUUUUAUGUACUUUUCGUUAGGAUGGAGGGAAGCAUAAAGCAAGGCUUGUCGAGGAGGAGAAACCCGAACUUCCAGCCAAUAAGGAGUCAUCGAGUUUGCCAAGAUUCUAUAUGGGCAUCUCGAAGCUGUAGGUACUGAAUUUGCUUACAUUUGUUUAUUUGUUUCAUAUGUUUAAAGCUUCGAUGGUAGGGCUUUCGGGUAUGGAUGAAUACAUGAAUUUAACGAGGAUCUCUUGCUUUCAGAGGAAAGAAAUCUAUUUUUAACAUUUGUUUUGCGGUGAUGGAAGAGUAUUGAUGUGCUCAUGUGUUCUUGUAAUGAGUAUGUGACAUAAAGGUCCAAUCCCUUAACUUAUUCUUUUUUGUGAAAAAUGUUAUAGAACUUAAGAAACAUCGGACUCAGUGAGAACAAAUUUUCCUAACUUAGAGAGCCUAUUCUUUGAAUCUCUUGAAACAGGAACCUUGGCUCUGGCACUAGUGGACAUCAACUGGAAGUUUUGACCUUACUGACUGCAUGCAUCUUAAAGAAGUGGAAGUGGGUCGAGUUUUGGUAUAAAUUCCUUAAGCUUGUUGUACGGGUGGGAAUAUGGUUGGAUACACAAAGCUCUUUCAUGCUGCUGAUUUUGUCCACAAGCAUGUGAGAUUGAAACACCUGGACCUCGUGAUGGAUUUGACUUCUAAAGUGCGUGAAGAGUUAUAUUUUUACAAUUACAUGAAUGAUACAGAUGCUCCCGGUGGUCAGCCUGUCAUGCAGCAACCACUUCCGAGAGAUAUGCCACAACGGGGUAGGAUGGAUAACCAAACCAACGGCUAAGAGAUGAUCGUGGGAACCAUCAUCGCAGAGAUCAGGAGAGGAUUGAUAGAAAUGGUGGUGGUGGUGGUGAUGAUGAAAGGUUUGACAAGACUGAGAAUUCGCCAUCUCGAGAUGUCCAGUCGAACACAACAGGUGGUGGUGGAGAUCCUGACGAACCAAUCUAUGAUACUUACGGUGGAGCUGGAGGAUCUGGCUUGCAUGGUGCUCAAUUCCCAUCUGAUCUAGCUCCACCUCCCCCAGUAUUGAUGCAUGUUCCUGGUGCUGGGCCACUAGGACCUUUUGUCCCUGCUCCACCCGAAGUUGCAAUGCGAAUGCUGAGGGAGCAGGGUGGUGGUCCUUUUGAAGGAACUGUUGCUAGGAAUGGGCGGGUUGGACCCACUCCAAUAAUUGCUGUAUCUCCAGCCUUUCAGCCGGAUCCCCGACGCGUUCGUAGUUAUCGGGAUCUGGAUGCCCCAGAAGAUGAAGUCACCGUUAUAGAUUACUGAAGUUUAUAGAUCUUCUCGUUGUGUCAAGAGUUCAAAGAUCUGUGGAUUCUGCAGCUGCUUAUAGGUCAUAGAGGAUGUGUUGGCUUCUCUCGGGUGGAGAUUUCGAGUGGAAUUUAGUGCACUGUUUACUGAAAGCGGGUGUCAUUUUUGCUUUUCUUCUGCUGUAUUAGACGACUGGAGUUUUGUGUUAUUCUUCAUAAUGGUAGUAGUAUGCUGCAUAAUAAUGUUUUUUUGCUA